AUAGUACUGUAGUAAAAAUAGUGCCCAUGGCAUUUUCGUAAUUUUUGUUCCAUUUGUGACCUUUUUCCAAUAUUUGAGUCUUAUCUCAUCUGAUUCACAAUUUUUUGAUUUUCACUUUGACCAUCUGAUACAAUUCCGGCGACGAAAAGAAAAGAGGAGUUAUGCCGUAAGAAUCUCCCCCAAAUUCAACGGUGAAAGUGCAAAGUCAGAUCAAAAUUCAACCAAAAUCCACAACAGAGAAAUCCAUUACACCAGCAAAAUAAGGAGAUUAUUCUCAGGCACGUGCUCAUUCGCCGACAUUCACUUCUACAAGAGUUACAUCUCCUCGGGCAUAGUGAGCAUUAUCUUGCACUUGGCGUUUUGUCUUUCUACUCCCAAGAAAGCUAUUCCACUUCUCCAAAUUUAACGGUGCCCUCACGGUCCACUUGUCUUUGCUCACAUCGAAUUUUGUUUGCUGGAACACUUUUCAUCCAUUAAUUGCACCUUCUAUAUCUUGUUAUGGCGAAAAGAAGAUGUGCGUGUGCUUUCAGAUAAGGUUGCUGGUGGGCUGCGUGAUCUGGAUUGCCGUUACAUGAUGCGCUAGCACCUGUUGCGAAAUUUGGACUCCGAGGUAUUUUUCUCACAAUGACUUGUAAUCCAAAGUGAGUGGAGAUUCGAAGUGAAUCAUUUCCUGUUGAAGAGAGUCAUAAUAGAGUUGAUUAAUAUGCAAGAGUUUUCAAGAGUAAAAAAUGAGUACUUGAAAAGAGUCAUAAUAGAGUUGAUUAGUUAGCAACAGUUUUCAGAGUAAAAAAUGAGUACUUGAAAAAGGAAAUCGUAAAAGUCUCGUUGUUUGGGGUGGUUGCUGCUUUUCUUUAUGUGGUCGAAUUUACUCCCACAUGUUCAUUGCAGUGGUUAUUCUUAGCAAAAUAAAGGUGAGUAUAAUAAAGGUGAAUAUUCCACAUGAAACAACGAUGUUAAUAGUUGAAUGAAGUCAUCAACAAUACAGGAUUUUAUGCAAACACAGUAUUGUUUGUCAUUACUAAGCACCAACAAUUGUAUGUGCUUUGUACAAUUCUAUCUAUGACUUUUGGUAGUACUACACCAUGUCAGUGACAUUUCAUUAACGUUUUGAGGUUGUCUUUUGUAUGUACAAUCGUAUAUGCCUCGAUGUAGGUUCCGGUUGAAGGCACUGUGUAUAUAUGAUGCAUAAUAUCUUAAUAUUUAAGUAGUUUGUAUUUCUAUUGUA